rnacentral:lncRNA from 1 species
AUACAAUAUUAUUAUUUAUUCAAACUUCAAUUCUAUGAUAAAAAAUAGGGUGACGGGUUCUUACCUGAUUUGAUGCCGAAAAGCUAAAUGGUUUACUACGUCUACGGGCGGUCCCUAGGUUCCUUGAAUUUUUCUUUAGGAACUGAAACACGCUUACGGUACCUAUAAAUGUCCCAAAUAACCCAAAAAUCAAUCCCAAUGCCUACUCGGCCAAUUUUGGAAAUCCGACAUGGCGGCUCCGCCGUGUUUCAGAAAUGGCACCGCCGCUUGCCGCAGCGAUCUACCUCGAGUUGACUGUUUUCGUCU